rnacentral:lncRNA from 1 species
GAGCAGCUCCGGCGCGUGGUGACCAGUGAGGAUCCACGGUACAUCUAUCAGGAUGGUGGUGCCCUGGCAGAGCUGGAGGGAGAGCUCACCGAUGACCUCUGCACCAUCAUCUCCAUCAGGCCGGAGCCAGAGCCAAAGCCGAAGCCCUGCACCGUGCAAUGCCCCAGGGGCGAGAAGGGAGACCGCGGCGAGGCAGGACCACAAGGACGCAUGGGGCCACCAGGUCCCCCUGGCGAGCCGGGCCGCUAUGGGCCACCUGGCCCUCCAGGACCCCCAGGGCCACAGGGUCUGCCAGGAGAGAGCGCCGAGAGGCCAGGCAAGAAGGGGGAUAGGGGAUUCCCUGGAGCUGAUGGGACACCAGGAAGCCCUGGCCGCCCUGGGAACCCUGGAUCACCUGGUCAGCCGGGCAUCCAGGGCAUCCCUGGCCCCCGAGGGGAUCCCGGGACACGGGGGCCAAUGGGGCUUUCUGGUCCAAAGGGGGAGAAGGGUGAGCCGGUA